GAAGUCCACGUUGCCUUGGAUGUUGCAUGAUUUGUAGAACUGGCGAAGGGAGUGAGCGUAGAGAGUGUCUUGAUUGCCUAAGAAUUCACAGUUCUCAAUCACUGAUAAAUCGCUACCUGAUCUGAAAGCUACAGCUUGGUGGGCAUCAGGACCGGCUGUGUUUUGGAAUGUGAGACCACUGGCCAUGAACCCAUCACCACUCACACCUGUGCCAUGAUCAAACACCAUUCGAUUGAUCAAUAGGACCAACAACGCCUUAGGAGUUAGGAGCAAGGAAACAAAGAAAACAGCGUGCAUGUUGGCUCACGUGUCAGCACCAUAGUGUGGGUCCUACUCGUGAAUUCCCAUACGUAAGUUUCAAACCAACUAACGUCCUAUCAUUCAGCACAAUUUUAAUAAUAACUAAAAUAACCUAUUACUAUGAAUAAUAAAUAAAUAUCAUACGCUUUCUGCGACAUAUAGUGUUCCUACUUCUACAUUUGAUUACUGCCUACCCUACGUGGCUAGAUGCCAUUGGCUAAAAUCAGAAAAGACCAUCGGAAAUUCAAGUAGUCGAUUAAUAUCACCCAAACAACUUACGACUUACCGACAGUGGCUGUGUUGUAGGUGGAAAUUCCAGGCUGGCCCACAUUCAACGAUCCCGUAAUUACCGUUUUACCCAUCCCAUCUCCCAAAAACACCACGUUCUUUUUUUCCAACGGCACCCGAACCGUCUCCUCAUAGACCCCUUCUCGAAUCCGAAUCACGAACUUCCGGUCACCGGCGUUAGCCGGCGCGGCGUCCACCGCUUCCUGCACCGUCUUGUAGCACCCGUUUCCGUCCUUGCACACGGUGGCGUCCGGCGGAAGACCAGUCGGAACUCCACCUUUGACCCCCAAUCCGGAUUCUUCGCCCAACCCGGAAGGCUCCCAGAAGCCGUCUCGCUCCGUUUUGGGGGGCCUCCAGGACCCGAUGUCGUUCCCGAAAAUAUCGUAAGAUGCCAUCAUGCUUAGACCGUUGCUGCUCAGCCCAAGAAGGGAGUCUAAAAACGACAUCGUUUUGUUCACCUGUUGAGUGUCGUUGGCGUACUUCAAAGCCGACCAGCAAUCGUACUGGUAUAGUAGAGCCGCGCUCACCCAGGCCCUCGCGUCCUUGAUCUUCCCAUGUGGCAGAGCCUCCAUCGUCGAUGAGAUCCGGUACUCGGAGUUAUGCAACACCUCCAGGCAGUUCUUCGCCGCCGUCGUCCGAUUCAGGUUCCGUGCGGAUGCGUCCAGGAUGUCCUUUACCAUGGACUGCGCCGUCUUGAGAUUCUCCAAGGAGACCCAUAAGGCUGAUUGGAUGACAUCGAUGGGCUUGGGAUCGGGAGGGACCCGAUCGGAAGCGAUCAGAGAGGCCUCGCAGGUUUCUGGGUAACGCGUAGCGGCGCAGGCCUGGUGGAUCUGGGGAGGAACAGAGGCGGUGGAGGGCUGGGGGGUGAUGGGUUGGGGGAAAUGCGGGAGGGAGUGGCGAGGGCUAUGGUGGUGAGAGGCGGAGGAGAGGGAGAAGAAGAGGAAGAGGGAGAGAAGAGCGAGAAGGAAGAGAGAAGCCAUGGAGAGGAUAAGGAAUUUAGAGAAGGAGUGGGGCUUUAUAGGCUUUCUGGAGUGCAUGAUGAUAGUGGAAAUGGGGUUUGGAUUGUAGCGAAUAUUAGAGAAGAAGAGACUAGGAGGAAUGGAAGUCACGGGUGGCUUCUCACGGGUGUGAAGAUAGAAAUCGGUGAUUCUGUUAUUGGCAGCAUUGACUAGGCGUGGAAUGUAAAGCAGAUAAAACCAAGCCACUUACCACUAGGUCUGUAUUUUGGGUUGUGCCUCAUACCUGCACCACCUACCUCCCUCCCUCCCUCCCUCCCUCCCUCCCUCCCUCUCCCUGACUCAGAACUCACAAAGGGAAAGACCCAACAAUUAGGGGACAGAGGCUGUUUUCCAGAGAACCAUAAACCCGCCCUUUUAAUUGACUUUGUCAAUGCUUUCCCAUCUUUUCUCCUUUCAUCGCUUUCCAACUUAAUGCGCGUAUUUUGGUCAUUUUCAGGUAAAUCAGAGGCUCGUUCGAUCAUACUGUAACCACCAUAUGGAAGGCUUGGAGUCUACGCUACUUGGAUUUUAAUCUGAGUGAGUGAAGGCAAAAUGAAUAUGAGAAGAGAGCAAUUAAAAUUAAGAUAAUGCAAGUUGCAGCUAAUGUAAUUUGUCUAGGAAUUGGAAUGAAAUUGGCCGGUAUAGUUUGGAACAAGAACUAAACCACUACGGAAUCUUGGAUAUCUGAAGUUGUAGAGACAAUCAAGUGAGUCGGUGGCAUACAGUGGAAAGCACACUAAGGUAAGUGAUAUUGUAUUUAAUUGUAAUAUAAAUAAAAUAGUGUGAUUUGCUAUAUGCGUUAUAAGUAUUUUUUUUUUUUAAAAAAAAGAACACCAGCCUACUAGACUUACAACUCACUAGAAUAGAUGAAGAGAUAUGUUUGGUUACUAGGAAAAUAUAAGCAAAAGAAAAUAAAAAUUAAAAAUAAAAUGCCGAGGAAAGUGAAUAUAUAUAUAUAUAUAAAGUUAAUAAAUUAUUUAUUUGUUUUAAAUUUUUUUAUUAUAAGAAUUAAAUAAUUUAAAAACGUAUAAAUUUUUAAUCAGUUUUAAUUAUAUUUGAUUUUUUUUUUUUGCUAUUGUUUUUAUAAGAUCAUAUGAGAAAAUAAUUUUUUAAAUAUUUUUUUAGUACUUUCUAAGAAUCAAUCACGGUGAAUGAGUUUAGAGAGAGAAAUGUUCAUUAUCAGUGGAGUUUCUUGAAUAAUAAAAGUUGCUCCUCAAAACCAAAGUAGGUAUCAAAAGUAAGACCAAGAUAAAUACAGAGUCUUGUUUGUUGGAUUGACUUUUGAAAAAUCAAAAACUCUUUUUCAAACUUGAUAAAACUUUUAUGCUUUUUUGACUAAUUUUGUUGAAAAAUAUAUGCUUUGAAAAAAACUUAAUAUAAAAACCUAGAAAAUAUUGCUUCUUAUAAAAAUUCUAUUUUGAAGUAUUUGAGAAUAUGACCUUUUUUUUCUUUGAAUGUUAAAAAAAAACAAUUGAAGAAAUUAAAGUCUCUUUUGCUUUGGAUUUGGAGUCAUAUUUAGGUGGUAUUUGUUUUUUGAUUGAAUAGAAAAAUCUAAAAUAUUUGAUUUUUUUUAUUCAACUAAAAAUAGUCUGUUGACAUCAUCUAACAUAACUAAAAUAAAUUGGUUAUCAAUAAGUUCAGUUUAAUUAUAUUGAUUGAUAUCAACAAGUUACUUUUAACUGAAUAAAGAAACUAAAAUAUUUUAACUUUUUCUAUUCAGUCAAAAAACAAACGUCAUCUUCCUGUUUUACUUUUUGAUGACUCCAAGGCCAUAUUUUGGAAUUCCUUCUCUAGCCUUUUUGCUAGCACAAUGUUAAAUUGAAGAAGGGAGGUCGAUUAAGCUGACUUUAAUUGUUACGGCAAGUUUAGUGACCCAAGCAAUGAUAGGAGAGUCUUCAUCUUCGAUUUCAACUGCUACUACAAUUCGUAGCAAAUCCAUUGAAUCAACUAAUUAUAGUAAAAUUGAAGGAAAAUAAUUUUUCUUAUGGAAGCAUCAAGUAGGUUGUAGGAUUAAGGGUUAUAAAAGGGAAGGUUUCAUUUUUUGAGACUCGAUUUGAUGAAUUCAACCUUUAAUAUUGCCCCAUCAAAGUCAGGAUCAACUUCUGAUGUCUUGGCUUUUUGCUUGCAUGAGUCUUGGUUUUCUCCUACAACUUGUCAGUUUUGAUACUGUUGAGGAUGUUUGGAGCAUUUUAUUUAUUCGAAUAAAUAAUGUAGCAAUCACUCUUUAGAAUUUGUGUUUUAUUAUGAUAAUUCAAUUUCUUACUGGUUUGAACUAUGACAUAAGAGGCUAGGUCACCCAGCACCAAAAUUUGUUACUAGAGUUUUCUCACAUUAUAAAAUACAAUUUCCCUUGUAAAAGAGAAAACAUGGACAAUGCUAGAACUUGGACUUACCUUGCUUACUUAGGCAUCAAUGCCACUCACACUAGAAGAUGGCUACAUCCCUUAGCUACGGCCGCAUGUAGUAGCUAGUGUGACUUGAUGAUCUAAAGUUGUGGCCACUAUCGCAUUCUUUUCACGACUAAAGGCUUUGUAUGUUUGCGACUAAUCAUAACAGCAACCAUAAGCGUGUAGAAAUAGAAAUGCUAACAGCAUAGUGUUAGACAUGUGCUACGGCCAGUGGAUGGCUGCCACUAUAGGUUGUGAUGUGGACACAGUCACGCUUGAUCAUGACUAUAAGGUCAUUUAUAUAUAUAUGAAUAAAUCAAAGCAAUUACAAAGCAUUCGUUCAUCUGUUUUUACAUUUAUAAUCAAAAUACCCUAUUUAGAGUUGUUACAAAUGAUCGAAUUAGUCAUAAAUGAAUCCCUAUUGAGCUCACAUUGUCAAAAUCAGUUGGUAUUUGUUGGCAAAGAAGCAAGUUUGAGAUUCAUGAAUCAUUCAAACAUCUACAUUGAACAAGAAGAUUCAUGAAAGUGUUGUCAUUAGAGAAAUUCAAAAUUGAUUUAAUAACUUCAUGCUAUUCAUAAAUCAUUAACAUAGUAUCGUGUCUGCGAGUCAAAGUCAUUAGCAAAGUCGCCAUUCCCCUUUGAUAGCGUGGCCGUAAGUUUGUUGAGUGAAAGCGAUUUUUUCAUGACUUUAAGUUUUGGUCACAAUUUAUUGGGAGAAAAGCAUAUACUGAUCAGCUGUAUGAAUGGCCAUUAAAGCAAAAACAUGUUGCUUCAACAGUGACUGUGCCACACAUUCAACCAAACCAUGUAUGGAGACCGUAAUGGCAGGCUACUAAGAAUCGCUACAUCAUAGAUUUCAAAGUAAUGAAGAAAAGUAGAACUUUAUAACAUAAAGUCCAAAUGAUAAAGCAUGCUACAAAUUUUUUCAACUUGAAAAGCGUCCUAAAGGACAUAGAUGUGGAAACGUGACUGCUACAUGAACCAGUGUAUACAUAUCAUACUGUUCAACUUCAGAUAUAAAAAAUAAUUGAGUCAUGGUCAUGGUGUGGGAAUGAAAUGGACUAUAUCCACUCUGUUUAAGCAAGACAAGUAUUAUUCAUUAAAAAAUGCAUGUUAACACUUGGAAGGGAAGUAAAACCCUAAAAGGAAGAAAAGAUAUACGUGGCAGAAACUUUGAAAUUUCUCUCCUCUAUUAAUAGUUUGAGUACAACAUGGACUAAAAGCUUCUAUCUCUGUGAAGGGAUCUAAACCUCCCUCUCAGAUGAAUCUAUUUCUACAAAUGUGGCCGGUGUUACUAAUCAAGAAGUUGUAGGAAUCCACUCAUUACCUUGAAUGAAAUUCUGUACCGAGUACAUGUUUAUGUGCUGAGCAGGAAUCUGGCUACUCCAUGUUACUCUUGCAGACAAAUUAGCUCCCAAUCCAGAAUUGUUGAAUUCCCCAUAAUAAAGUGUUUCUAAUGCAAAGUCACCACUCCAUGGCAGCCACCCUUGUGGUGUCACAAGAGCCUCCAACAAACACUGGAUAAAAACAGUCCUUGAAAACUCCUUCCAUGGCCUCCCCAAGAAGUUCUUGUGUACUUUAGGGUUGCUGUAGUACAACUUCAUGUAGUCGUCGGUGCCAUUGACCACACAAUUUUGGAAAACAAAGCCUGUGGUUUGGGCAGGGUCUGUUCGACUAUGUGCUGUUACAGCGUUGUUCUCCCCGUUUUCUGGGUUGAGUUGCCUGGGGCGGAUUAGGAUGAGGCAGUCUUGGAAGAUUGAAGCGGAGUUGCCAAAGAUGAAGUCCACGUUGCCUUGGAUGUUGCAUGAUUUGUAGAACUGGCGAAGGGAUUCAGCGUAGAGAGUGUCUUGAUUGCCUAAGAAUUCACAGUUCUCAAUCACUGAUAAAUCGCUACCUGAUCUGAAAGCUACAGCUUGGUGGGCGUCAGGACCGGCUGUGUUUUGGAAUGUGAGACCACUAGCCAUGAACCCAUCACCACUUACACCUGUGCCAUGAUCAACAGUUAAUCAAUAUGACCCACAACGCCUUAGGAGUUAGGAGCAAGGAAACAAAGAAAACAGCGUGCAUGUUGUCUCACGUGUCAGCACUAUAGUGUGGGUCCUACUCGUGAAUUCCCAUACGUAAGUUUCAAACCAACUAACGUCCUAUAAUUUCAGACCCUUCAGGAUUUUAAUAAUAAAAUAACCUAUUACUAUGUAAUAAUAAUUAAAUAUCACACGCUUUCUCUAUCAUAGUUGGGCUAAAAUAUAGUGUUCCUACUUCUACAUUUGAUUAAUGGAUACCAUACGUGUCCAGAUUUCAUUGGCUCAAAUCAGAAAAGACUCAACUUCGGAAAUUCAAGCAGUCACCGUCCAAUUAAUAUCACACAAACAACUUACGACUUACCGACAGUCGCUGUGUUGUAGGUGGAAAUUCCAGGCUGGCCCACAUUCAACGAUCCCGUAAUUACCGUUUUACCCAUCCCAUCUCCCAAAAACACCACGUUCUUUUUUUCCAACGGCACCCGAACCGUCUCCUCAUAGACCCCUUCUCGGAUCCGAAUCACGAACUUUCGAUCUCCGGCUUUAGCCGGCGCGGCGUCCACCGCUUCCUGCACCGUCUUGUAGCACCCGUUGCCGCCCUUGCACACCAUGGCGUCUGGUCGAAGACCAGUCGGAACUCCGCCUUUGAACCCUAAUCCGGAUCCUUCGCUCGACCCGGAAGGCUCCCAGAAGCCGUCCCGCUCUGUUUUGGGGGGCCUCCAGGACCCGAUGUCGUUCCCGAAAAUAUCGUAAGAUGCCAUCAUGCUUAGACCGUUGCUGCUUAGCCCAAGGAGGGAAUCUAAAAACGAUAUCGUUUUGUUCACCUGUUGAGUGUCGUUGACGAACGUCAACGCUGACCAGCAAGCGUACUGGUAUAGUAGAGCCGCGCUCAUCCAGGUCCUCGCGUCCUUGAUCUUCCCAUGUGGCAGAGCCUCCAUUGUCGAUAAGAUCCGGUACUCGGAGUUAUGCAACACCUCCAGGCAGUUCUUCGCCGCCGUCGUCCGAUUCUGGUUCCCUGCGGAUGCGUCCAGGAUGUCCUUCACCAUGGACUGCGCCGUCUUGAGAUUCUCCAAGGAGACCCAUAAGGCUGAUAGGAUGACAUCGAUGGGCUUGGGGUCGGGAGGGACCCGAUUGGAUGCGAUCAGAGAGGCGUCGCAGGUUUCUGGGUAACGCGUAGCGGCGCAGGCCUGGUGGAUCUGGGGAGGAACAGAGGCGGUGGAGGGCCUGGGGGUGAUGGGUUGGGGGAAAUGCGGGGGGGAGUGGCGAGGGCUAUGGUGGUGAGAGGCGGAGGAGAGGGAGAAGAAGAGGAGGAAGGAGAGAAGAGCGAGAAGGAGGAUAGAAGCCACGGAGAGGAUAAGGACUUUAGAGGAGUGGGGUUUUAUAGGGUUUCUGAAGUGCAUGAUGAUAGUGGAAAUGGGGUUUGGAUUGUAGAGAAUAUUAGAGAAGAAGAGAUUGGGAGGAAUGGAAGUCACGGGUGGCCUCUCACGGUUGUUAAGAUAGCAGUGGUUGAUUCUGUGGUUGGUAGCAUUAAUUGGGCGUGGAAUGUAAAGCAGGUAAAGCCAAGCCACUUACCACCAGGUCUGUAUGUUGUGCCUCAUACCUGCACCACCGCACCUCUCUCCCUCCCGCUCUCUCUCUGACUCAGAAGAGUGAGGUCUCACAGGGGGAAAGACCCAAGUCAAUGCUUUCCCAUCUUGCAUCCUCUCAUCGCUUUCCAACUUAAAGCGUGUACUUUGAUCAUUUCCAAGUAAAUCAGAGGCUCAUUGGAUGGACACUGUAACCAUAUGGAGGGCUUGGAGUACACGCUAGGAUUUUAAUUUGAAUGAUUGAAGGCAAAAUGAAUAUGAGAAGAGGGAUAAAAAUUUAUUUUGAUUUUCUUCAAAAUAGAAAUUUUCAUAUAAAAUGACAAUGGCUUAUAUAUUUAGAAAUCACCUUACAAAGUUUAAAAUUUUAUAAUAAUAAAACUUUUUUAAUACUUAAUUUUUUAUGAACAAUUUUUCAUACUCUAUCUUGCGGUACAACAAAGGCAUUAUGCAAAUGAUUCAUUACUAUGACCGAAUAAAAAUUGAACAUAAUUAAGUUGCACAACGUCCAUGAAGAACAUGUACAUCUUCUUUUGUGGAAUUUGGCCAUAUAUCAAGCUCGAUUACUCGUACACCUCUCCGCAAUGCCUUUAUGAUUAGGACAUCACUGCAAUCACUGCUGAGUUCGUUGCCAGUCAGGCAUGAAUUGUGGCCCAUCAUAUGAAAUAAUGGGACAAAGGAGCAUUCAUAUCAUGGUGAACAAGAAAAGAAACGAAAAGAACCGUCUUCAUUGUUAGGAAAACCUCUGGAUCAUAUGUGUAUGCUAUCUAACAACCUAGGGAUACUAUAUCUAAUUGUAACUGAAGCAAUAAAAUGAUAAAACUAAAAUUUAGGCGCUACAAUUUUUUACCUUUGAUACUCAUUCUUUGAAUCUUGACACUUGUGUAGAGUGGUUAUACACCUUGAGGGAGAAAGAUGGAGACUUUGUGGAAGGCUACCGAUUGAAUGGUUAAGUGUGCAACCUUAAACCCUUAAAAGGGUUUAUAUAGACUUGUAGGUUUAAGUGGCUUUAACCUAACUAGGGUUUGAGUAACUUAAUCUAGUUCACAUGCACUAAUUAAUUAAUUAGCUUUAAUAGAAUCUAAAUUAAUCAAUAAACCAACAAAAAAUAAUCAAUCAUAAAAUCUUGUGUAAUCUUGCAUUUUUACAUAAAUACCCUUAUGCAUAUAAAUGAUUAAUUCUCCAUAAAACCUCAAGACUUUGUUGUAGCAAAGAAUAUAAGCUUAAGCGGGGUCAUUGUUGAUUAAGGUAGGUGGCAAUAGGUUUUUUCAAGAUAGACAUCAUGAUAUUUCAUGGGUUUGAGGUAGUAUAUUCCUUUGGAUAAUCCUGAGGACAUGUGAUCAUGAAAUCUAUAAUCGCAAUAAUUCAUUUAGUUGAAUUUGACAUAUGUUAUUAAAGAGUUAAAAUAUGUCAAUUGAUCACAUAACAUGAGAAUUUGAGACUUAAGGAUGGUAGAUAUAAUCAGAGAGGUAUAUAAUAUUUACUUUAUUAGAUUAUGAAUACUAGUUUAUGAGGAGUUUGCAAGCCAUCAUUAACAAGUCACAAGCCUAAAUUUUCUAUCUCAAUCUAAUAUCAUAGGAUAUUAGAAUAUAGUUGACUCUCUAUUAUAGAAUGUUGAGUUAACUUUGGAAUUGAAUUUUGUGGAAGUCAGUAUUUUCCUAUGGGUCCCAAUGGUCGUUACUUGAGCUCAUAUUCACAUGUGUGCAUAAUACAUGUUGGAAAACACGCAAGGUUGCAGAAAAGCUUGUGAAUGGUCUCUUUGGAUUGAACUAAUUAAUUAAUUGGAAUCCAAUAGAGUUAAUUAAUCAAUUAGGACCCAAGUGUGCUAAAUUAAGUGAUCUACACCUAAGAUGGACUCAAGUCACUUAAACCAAUUGAAAACCUAUGUUUGUCUUAUCAUCUUAUUGAAUUAAAAUUUUUCAUUAGACAAAAUUCAUAAUACUUUGAAUUAUGGUGAUACAAAGAAAAAUCAUUUUGAUGAAAUUUAUAUAAUUGCUAGCCAAUGGUUUAGAUUAAGAAGCCAUUAUCUAUGAAAACCUUAAUUAGGUGAAAUAAAAUGAUCUUGUGCUUGCAUGUUUUAAUGUUAUUCAUGCUAUGUGUUGUAGUUUGUUUAGAAAUUGCAUAUUUUGGGAAAUAAUGAUAGGCUUUAAAUGAAAAAUCUCUUAUUCUCUUACAUUUUUCUACCAAAUCAUGCUUUAAAUUGAAAAAUGCUCUACAUUAAUUGAGCAAAUUUUCUCUUGGAAAAUGUUUUCAACUGAAAAAAAAAAAAAGAGAAGAUGAAAAAAAUGAUUUCAUCUUACAUAUUUUCAUGAAUAAUGAAACUAUGCUUAUUGUCUAUUUUUGUGACAUCAUUUAGGAUCAAUUAAUAAAUCCCAUUAUUAUGCUUACUUGCAACUUUUCGUUGAUAACAAAAAGGAGAGAAAUAGUAUUAGGUUGCUAUAGUAUUAAUAACCUAAUAGAUAUGGUAAACAUAGUAUUAGGUUGUCAUAGUAUUAAUAACUUAUUAGAUCUUGUAAACAUAGUAGCCUUCCAGCUGAUGACUUCUCCUUGAGUCUAGGCAAAAAGAUGGUGGAGAUCUUUGGGUUGGAGGCUAAGGUUCUCACUUUGACCUAUAGAGAAUGGAAUGGAAGAAGACAAAAGACCUUAGCCCUUAAGAGGUAUAUAUAGUGCUUCUUACUAAACUUAAGUGACUUAAAACCACCUUGGGUUGGGAUCACUUAAUCUAACCCAAAAAGGUUGCUAAUUGGUUAAUUAACCUAACAAGGUUCCAAUUAAUAAAUUAACCUAAUCUAAAGAUACCGUUUACUUACCCUUGUGUAACCUCACCUGAUUACCAAAUCGCUCUUAUGCACACAAGUGAACUAAAAACCAAUCCAACCCUCAUAAAUCAUGCCAUCAAGGAAUAUGAACUCUAACGGGGACCACCGAAACCCAUAGAACAAUACUAGCUUCCGCAUAAUCCAAUUCUAACAUUGACUUUGCAUCCUAUUAUAGAGAAUAUUACAACAAGACACUAAGUGCUUGGAUUCGUGACCUACCAUUGUAUAUGUUAGGAUGACUUUGCAUCCAUUAUAUAUAGUCUCCUCAUAAACUGGUAUUUUGUAAUCUAACAAAGUGAAAGUUAUCAACCAUUCAAGAUUACCUCUAUCAUCCUUAAGUCAUAGAUCUUCUUAUUAUGUGAUCAAAUGACAUACUCUAGCUCACUAAGAGCACAUGUAAAAUUUCAUUAAAGGAGUUGGCUCAUAGAUUUUAUAAUCACAUAUCCUUAGGAUCACCUAAGGGGACACACUGUUUCAAAGUUUAUGAGAUAUCAUGGUGUCUCUCUUAAGAAUACUAAUUGUUAUUGGCUUCUAUCAAAAGUGACCCAAUUUAUAGUGAAUAUAUGAUCACUUUAGGAUCUCACUUGUAGGUCAAAGACACUGCUAACUUUGACAUAAGCUCAAUAUUCUCUCAAAGUUGAAAGACGAUAUAAUGUAACAACUUAGUGAAGUCAUGACUACCCGAUAUCCUUAUAUCAUGACUCACCACAGGUUGUGUCAAAUGUGUAACCAUACAUAUUAGUGUACUCAUCAUGGGAACCCCAUCCCAAUAGCCAAGACCAACCAUUCUUCCAAUUAAGGGGUGGUGCAUUAAAGCCUCAAAUGGAUUGCUUAAGUCCAAAAACUGAUUGUGAACAAUUCAUCUACUUGUAAGGAACCCAUUACUUUGAUCUUCUAAACAAAUCCUAACGCACUCAAAUUAUGUAUAAUACAAAAGAUGUUUAAGUAGGGAUGCUUAUAAAAUAUAAUGCAUGGAAUAAUGAUAGAUAAAAGUGAAGCUGGAAUAUCAUAAAAUUAAUAAUGAAUUCUAAAUCUAUUACAUCAUAUCAUGCUUUUAAGGGUCAUCCUAACAAAUAUUUAAGUGUUAUGAAGCAAAAAAGAAGAUAUAUGAAGCAAAAGAGAAAAUUGAGAAUCAUUAAGAAAAUGUUUAUCCAGUUUAUCAUUAGAAUAUUUUAAGUAAGAUGAUUAGCAUUAUAUUUUUUUUUAAGUACCAAAACAUUCAUCCAUAAGUUUUUAAUUAAUUUUAACUUGUAUAAUUUGGAUGAAAAUAUUUUUGACAAUGAAAAGAUCAACCUAACCUAGGAGACUACCUUGGACCUGAAGCUUUUCAUGAAUUUUUUUAAGGUUUUUUUUAAAAUGUUAUUCACUUAAUCAAACAUUAUUCGCUAACAACUAGGUUGACAUUUCCUAUAUAAAGGUUCUAUACUUCAUAUCGGUUAAGAAUCCAAUUGAAAAUUGUUACAUUAUUCAUAGUAAAGUAUACACAUUUAUACAAAAGAAAUAAUCUAAGAAAAGAAAAACAAAAACUUCCUAAAUCGGUGCUAUAAAUAUUUGUUAGCCUAAUUACAAAGUUGACUAAAUAAAAAACUUCCUAAAAUGGUCUUAAACUAGUCAAAGAUAACUAAAUAACCCUUAGAAUCAUGGUGAAAAUCCAUAGAUGAUUUUCCUUAAUUAAGGGUGAGAUCAGUGGUUGAUUUCCUUGAGAUUAAUGGCUGAUUUGUACUAGAUCAGUGACUAAUUUUCAACACUCCCCCUCAAGUUGGAUAAAAAAUAUCCUUCUUUCCUAACUUGUUGAUUAUUGAGUUGAACCUUGGAUUAAGAACUUUUUUAGUGAAGACAUUUGCUAGUUGCAACUUGGAAGAAAUGAAUGGAGCACAAAUCAUUCCAUUGGAAAUUUUCUCUUUGAUGAAGUAUUUGUCUAUCUCGAUAUGUUUUGUUUUAUCAUGCUACAUCGGGUUAUAGGCAAUGCUUAUGGUUGCCUUGUUAUCACCAAUAUAGCUUCAUAAGACCUUUUGAUUUUAUCUACAACUCCCUUAAAGUUCUUUGUCCAUAUUAGCUCACAUAUUCAAAGUGCUAUGACCCUAUAUUCAACUUCUACACUUGACCUGACUACUAACAAUUGCUUUUUACUCCUCAAAGUUACUAAGUUACCUCUAACAAGAGUACAAUAACAAGAGAUGGAUCUUUCGACAGUCAUGGAUCUACCCUAAUCAACAUUUGUAUAUGCUUCCACGUCCAUAUGACCAUUUUGAAUCAACAUUUGUUCUUUGUCUAUUUUUUUUUUACCUAGCCACUUCAAUUCCCAAAAAAUAACAUAGAGUACCUAAAUCCUUGAUUUUGAAUUCCUUAGCUAACUAAACCUUCAAUUUUUCAAUUUCCUCACUAUCAUCACCCAUUAUAAUGAUAUCAUCUACAUAGAUGAUUAGUAUAGUCAACUUCCCUAUGGAAGAUCUUCUAAAGAAAAGAGUAUGAUCUACUUGACUUUGAUGAAACCAAACUUCAAGAGUGAUUGAGCAAAUCUUUUAAACCAUACCCUAGGUGAUUGUUUUAGGUCACGUAGAGAUUUUUUUUAGCUUGCAUUUCCUUCCAUUAUUCUCUCCAAAAUUGAAUGAAAGGUCUAUGUAGAUACAUUCUUUUAGAUUUUCAUGUAAGAAGGUGUUCUUGAUGUCAAAUUGUUCAAGUUGUAAUUAGAUAUAAGAGAGAGUAGAAUUCCAAUAGAGUUCAUCUUUUCCAUAGGGGCAAAGGUUUCUUGGUAGUCUACACCAUAGGUUUGUAUUUAAUUUGCGCCUUAUAUCUCUCCACAGAACCACCCACUUUGUAUUUAAUUUUAAAAACUCAUUUGCAUUCUACUGUUCGUUUUCCUUGGGGUAAAUCAACAAUAUCCCAAGUCUUUAGAGCAUUCGUAUUCUCAUCUAUAGCUUUCUUCCACUACGGGUUAGCAAGGGCUUCAACAUUUCUUAGAAUUGACUCAUAUCAGAGGUAAAAUGCCUUAUAGGUCCCUACAAUCUUAUGAUAAGACACAAAAUUUGACAAAGGAUGUUUGGUACAACUCUUAAUACCCUUAUGGAUUAUUAUAGGAAUAUCAAGAUCAAUAUCAAAGAGAGAAGUAGAAAUUAAAGUAGGAUUUGAAGGAUUACUAUUGGAUUUAGGGUAUAGAAACCAUACCUUCAUAUGAAGUUGAUGAUUGGUUUUGCUUUGAAGAAUUAGGGCUUUCCACUAACCUAGAUUGAUCCUGAAGUCUUUUGGUAUACACUUGUAUCUCCACUGUACUUCUAUCAUUAUGAGUGAUCUCCAAGGAAUUCUCCAAGUUCUCUCUAUUUUCUUAAGUACUCCAAAGUGGUCUUGCUAAUGAGAUUGACCAAUUCUAUGAUUGAUCUUCUAAUUAGUCUUUGUAUAGUGUGGUUGUUAAAAAAAAAAACCCUCACUUCUAUUGUAGCAAAUUUCCUUUUGGUUGGUGGAUGGUAACACUUGUACCCCUUUUGGAUUGGAGAAUAUAUCUGAGGAAAAUGCACUUAAUGGUCUUCAAGACAAGCUUAUAUUUAUCUUUGUUAGGGACAUGAACAAAGACACUACCUCUAAAGACUUUCAAUGGUAAAGAACUGCAUAAAGAUAGGUGAGGAUAACAUUCUUUCGGUGUUCCAAUGGGAGUUUGAAAAUUGAGUACCUUUGAAGGCAUCCUAUUGAUAAGAUAGGUUGUUGUCAAAAUUGCAUUUCCUUAAAAAUAUUUUGAAAUGUUUUUGGCAAACAUUAAGGCUUGAGUUACCUUAAGAAGAUGUUAUUAUUAUUAUUUAUUUUUUUAUACGUUCUACCAUUUCAUUUUGUUAGAGAAUAUCAUAUUAUCAUAUCUAACUAUAUGUAUCUUGGUGUUAAAUUAUGUUUAGACCAUUAAAAAGAAAUUCUGAAUUGUGGCAAUACUUGCAAAUUUGUUCUUCAGUAAAUAGACCCAAGUAGUCUACUAAAGUCAUUAAUGAGACUAAGGAACCAUCUAGCAACAGAAAUAUAUGUAUAACUAAGAAAAAAAUUUCACUUUUUUUUUUACCACUAAUGAGAUAUGACACUCUUUGAUUUUUAGUCAACUCACAAAUUUCACUCUUAAGUCUGGAAAAAUCUAGAGUAUUACAUAGACUUGGAUAUAAUUUCUGCAUGUAAUGGAAACCAAGGUGCCAUAAUUUUUCAUUUAACAACCAAUAGUCUUCUAAGGUUCCAUUUUUUUUGAACUCUCUUUAUUUGAUAGGCUUGAGGUGUCUCAUUUUUCUCGGUAUCUAGAUAGUAAAGGUCAUUCUUCUUUUCUUAGCAUUGCCAAUCAUCUUUCUCAAGAUUUGGUUACGAAAAACAUAGUAGUUAGGAUAGAAAAUUACCACAUAAUUGUCUUUUUUUAAUACUUUAUGAAUUGACAAUAAAUUAUAGAACAUUUUAGGCACAUGAGGAAUAGAAAAAGAGUAAUAUUUGGUGUAUAUAUAGACAUUUCCUUUGCCAUGAAUAGUAAGAAAUGAUCCAUUAGCAACUUGGACCUUUUAAUUAUCAGAACAAGCAUGGUUCAUAAAAAAUAAAAUAGUUCAAGUAUUUGGUCAUGAGAUUAGUGGCUCUUGAAUUUAAAAUAAUGGUUGAGAGUAGGAACAUACCAAGAACUCCAAAUUGAGCAAAUUCAUAGGAAGUAUUGAAGGUCACCUAAUUUGUUUUGGUGAUCUUGCAUAAAAGAUCAAGUUGUUCCUCAAUAUUUUGAGGAUUUCUUCUAGCCUUAGUAGUGAAUUGGUGGAAAGAAGAGCCUUGGCUUGGAAGCGCUUGUUGC
rnacentral:lncRNA from 1 species